CCUUCGCCGCCUUGUCAGCUUUCGCGCCGUUAGCCGUUAGCGCCGUUCCCCCCGUCGGGUCGCCAUAUUUUGUUUCCCGAAGGAAGAAAACAAGGCGAGGAAAGUUUGCGGUAGGGAGCACGACCGUGGCUACUAAGACGGCUGACGGCGCAGUACCCGAGGCGUUUGGCGGGCCCGAUAGUAAACGAACAUAACGGGAUGAUCUGUGGACUGCCCACGAGUACGCACUCAGCAUUGAUGGCAGGCUCAUGGUUCAGAAGAUACCAGACGUCCCUACGGCAUAGGCUGCGCACUCUUUGCGAGUCACUAUUGCUUUAACAUCUGCUACGCUGAAGGCCUGUCAUCGACCCUUGAGUUCCUUCAGAGAGGUUUCCUGAGCAUAAACCCUGACCGUGGCACCAGAGCCAAGCGCUCCAAGUCAGAACUGAGCAAGAAAGUACUUAACCUGGUCAAGAAAAUAGCAGAGCUGGAGUGGAAUGUGUGAGGCUGUAAGUAUGAUUCACUACAGUGUUCACUUAAUAAAUGGGAAGUGGACAUGAGACUCAUUUUGAAGAGAAGCAGAAGAAGGUGAAACAAUUCAAUGAGCGUAAGAGUCCACUGUCACUAGAGAGGAAGAAUAAUUCUCAGAGAUAGAUAGAUGCAGGGAUACAUUUACCACUAACGAAGGGUAUCUGAAGGUUUUGUAACAGACCACUGUCUUAGCAAACUACAAGCCUUACUCACUGGUAUAGUGUGUUUGUCUGCCAGUGAUGGAUUUACAAAAAAAAAUGUUUUCACUUUGUUUUUUGCAAAAAAAGAAAAAUUGAAUUCGGCGCUUGAUUAGUACUUCUCGUGAGUCGGCACCUUUAUCAAAUUAUCUCUGCUGGAUAGCAAAACAAUGAUAUCACACAGCUUAUUUUAGAGCAAAAUUUCCGGCUGUAGACAGGUACCUUGAAAGGUUAGUUCGUGAAAUAUUGAAAGCAAUUUUGCAACUGUUACCCGUCUGGGAGGGGAUGUGAUGAGGUAGUUUACAAUAAUGGUUCUUCAUUGAUUCUGGCGAAUGAGUGUAUAAUUUAUGAAACGUUUGGGUAAAGUUGCAUGAAUUCUUUAAUGCUGUGAAAAGGGGAUGUCAGGUUUCAACAAAUAAUGUGUUUUGCCAGUCGAGUUUGAUGGCAAAGGCCAGUGACUAACACUCUGGACAGACUGACAUGUCACACUGACAGAUGCAAAUAGUGAAUAAAUGGUGGUCACUUAGCCAUGAUCCAUGGCAUCUAGUCGCCAUUGUUCCAAAAUAAUUUGAUGGCCUAGUUAAUAAACAUAAAACACCAAACUAGUGCAAAAGACUCCUUAAUUUUUAAUUUUAUUUUUAUUAGUUUAUCACUUAAGACUUUUCCUUAUUAUUUUUUAUUAUCUUUUUGUGAUAUAUUUUUUUGUGAUUUUACUUUUUUCUUUAUUGUAUUUUUUUUCUCUUCCUGUUAUAUUAGCGUCAAUGUUGUCUUUGUCUUCCUCUUUCCUCUCAUAAAAUAUCAGUUGUAAGUAGUGCUCUGUCCUGUCUCAUUCUUUCUGUGUUCGUCUUUUGCGCUGAUAUUGUGCAUAAUUGUUCGCAGAGUCCCACCCAGCUUGUCACCAUUCUGGGAAUAAUGGGAUCACAUAACCAUCAUCUGUGUGUGGUCACCUGUCCAUACUGCAAAUCGUGAAUCGUUCAUAGUCAGACGGUCACAUAACCACACACAGCAUGCAUCUGAAUGAGCCCAACACAUUCUGACCUUUCAUAGCUUUUGUGAGCAUAAUCAAGCUUGCCUAAAUUUUUUCUUACAUUGUUGUGAUACUGGUCAUGCCUACAUUUCACCACACAUUACUUCAGCCCAUUAUUAUAGAAAGCAGUGAAUAAGACCCUGCUUCAUGGCUGGACCAUCAGAGUGGGCUUGAGCAAAUAAUCAAAAUUUAUUGCUGCUCUGGGCAAUAUACUAUUCAAUUUUACUUUUGUAAAAUUGAUACUGUGCUUUCAAGUUUGGGAAUUUUCGGCAAUAUGUGUGGUCUGUCCAAUCUAGUUAGCCACCACCGUUGGGCGCACUCUUAACCAUACACUUGUGCACCACAAAGAGGUGGUACCCACAGGUUUCACACUGAUUCUGCAUAUCUCAUCUCGCUGUAGCAGAGGCUCAUGCUUGGGAAGGAAAGUUGUCAUUUAAACAUAUGGUCCACAUGUCUUUGAAUAGAGAGGGAAGUUGAGAAAUGAUAAUCUGAAAAUUCUAAGUUCGUGUAAGAUUUCAAAAACCAAGUUGUUUGCUAGUACAGGGUCUCCUAAAAAGUUCACGCACUAACAUGGCCCACAAAUUUGAACAUGUAUAUUAUUUAGUGCAUGGAUUAAAUGAUGGAGAUGUUAGUAUUGUUGAUCACAGUGUGGACAUAUGAAGUAGUAAUAUUUCUUGAACGGAUAUAUUACUAGUUAAAUUUACAUGUUAGAAUAAACAUAAAAAUCUUUGUUAAAUGCAAUUGUUGUGAAUAACUAUAUUACAGAAUUUUUGUCCCUAAACUUGACACUAGUGGUAACACAGGGGUGGGAAAGGAAAGCAGGCAUUGUCUUCUAGUUUUGACAGGCAAACAGAUGUAUCUUAAUGUAGUAUUCACAACAGAAUGAAUAGGAAGUGUGCUUUCGAAAUCCAAAACUUCCUUUUGUUGCUUGAAAAUAUAUUUUUGGCUGGCCCAGAAGGUGCUCCGAAAUUACUCUGACCGUUUACAUCACAUCAGCACUAGCUUGGAGUUACUUUCCUUGAUUUUUUCAGUCUGUGGUUUUCUACUCAUUCUGUUCUGUUUGAAUAUGUCUGUUGAAGGUCGGUCAUCCUAUGUGGGAACGAGGCAUGCAACAUGGAGCUCGAGCUCAUUCAACACAAGAUCUUGGCACCAGGAAGAUUUCAGCUGCCAUAAGCAAUGGCACUUGGGUCUAAAUUUGAUCAGAGGGUAUAUGGACCUGGGUCCUCAUCAUCCAAGUAAAUAAAUGUUCUGUUUUUAUUUCUAUCCUA